GGCUUGAUUAGUCUUACAGCUUCAGCUGUGGACUUUGUUUUGGCGCAGAAACACAGAAUAUGACUUCGGAAGGAACACGGGAAACUGAUAUUUGAAGAAUUUAGUUUUUAUUUAUUUAAAAAAUACAACUAAUUUCAAAAUGGACACUAGAUAGAGCAGUUUUGGGACAACAGAUGAUACGCCGUUUCCAGGAGUUUUGAAGGCUGGAUCACAAGAACAAGCUGUACCGAGAGAGCUUCCUGUGACUGAACCUGAAGAGACUGGCUGUCCAGGACACACAGCCUCCACCAAGGAGUUGAUGCGGAGACCUGUGACAGCUGGAGCCAGAGACAUAACCUUCGAACACAAAUGUUUUCACCAAACACACUUCAGGGAAAGUGCAGGGCUGUGCAGAAAGUCCUUGAUCAGAACUGCAGCUUGAAAGAUCUCAAAACCACUUUCGAAAUAAAAUGACUCUCUCAGGUAGGUCACUCAAUAAUGUCUGAAUAUAUUUGCCUUUUCCCUGUUAAGUUGCGCAGAAAAGGUUCAUAUCCCUCUUUAACAGCACUAAAAGGUUUUCAGACUGUAGCGCGGCGUAUUAGUCAAUACUAUAAGUUCUGCAGGCGAAAGCAGGCGUCCAUCAGACACUUUUCCAUCAUUUACUAGGUAUUUAUUGGUUUCUAAGGUCCUUCUGAGUAGUAACUUGUCAAGUACUUUUCUUGAAUUUACCAGGUAUUAUCAUAUCCUGGAACCUAAUUAUAGUUUCAAAAAUGUUGUCCAAAGAUACUUGGUUGGUCCCAGAAAGUUAUCUCUAAAUUCUGGGAAGGUAAAAGAUAACUUUUAUUGACGUUGCAGGAAUAUACCAUGAAGUUUGUGGAAAGUAACGAGUUCUGCAAAAGAACAUCCUGUUAUGUAGAGCCACCAAAUUAUAAAAAUAUUAUUUCAAACUUUUUUUGCUCAUCUAUAAAGUACAGAUUCCAUACCCUUGUAGUUUUAGAGCUCUUGCAUCUCUGAUUGCACCCUCACUGAAUGUACUUUUGAACCGAAUCUUUUUUUGUAACUGUCUCAAACCUGAGUGAUUGAUAGCUUGUAAAAUCACAAUUUAAAUGUAAUGUAGAAAAGUAGUUACACUGACCCUGCCUCAAACAUGUAAUGUCAUAUUACAGUGUUCUUUGACUGAAAUGCUUGUACCUUUGAUGACAACACAGAUGAAACAAAAGAUCUUUUUUAAAAAGCAGACGUUGAACAAGGAGUUCCUUGAAAAAGCCGGAGCCUGAAGAGACCAGCAGGAGACCAGCUCGGUCUGUUUUGUUAGACCUGAAGGGGUCGCAGUCUAAAGUGCCAGAUUUUGUUGUAUUUCACAGUAAAUUUCUAAGCGGUUUAGACAUUUCACUCAAAAUAGAAGGAGAUGGUAACCUUAAAGCACCAGAUUUUGAAUGUUUUCCAACCAGCUUUCCUGAUAAGUUUCUCAAUCCCUUUAAAACUUCAAGGCAGGAAACUUUAAAUCAACUCGGAGCAACCCCCUUCAUUUUCCUCCUAAAUUAUGUACAAAUUCUGGCGCCCACAUAAUGGCGCCGCAGUAACUUUCGCCUGGGCUGAACUUGGUGUCAACUAAUUAAGCAAGAAACUCAAAUUAUCCUGCUGCUGGGUUCAUUCGUGUGCUGCAGGGUUUGGGUUUAAAUGUCAACUCCCUGUUUGUGUUCGCUGCGAAAUACGCUGCCAGCCUGCGUUCCUUGCACACAAGCUGAAUAAAGUCUAAACAGGCUGAAGCCAAGAGCUGAAUUAUUAAUCCCUGGAUAUUACAAGAAGCUGACACAUGUUUGCAAUUGUGGGACAUCACUUCUUCGCUCAUUUGAGAUGCAUAAUAAUUUGAGAUGAAAACGAGAUAAGUUCUGCCGAAGUUUAAUGAUUUAUUUUCAAGCUGUAAGAUGUUGUGAUCUAAAAUUCAGAGAGGAAGCUUGACAAGUUUCUGUUGCCUGCAUUAUCUGUUUAAUUUAUUUUUCAGGUUCCACUCCCACGUAGGGUUUUUUUUCCCCCCGCUUUAUUGAGUCGUGAGGUGGUCUGAGAGAAUAUUUGAACAGAAGGAAGACAUUAAAGAAGGCAGAGGAAGGCUUCGAUUUUUAACCCUGUGGGGUUCCAUGGGAAUCUAAAGGUGGGAAUCAACAGUGAUGAAGUCUAUGGGAAAGAACCUGCAUUAUUUACAGCAGCACAGGCUCAUAAAGGGGAAGCGGUGUUUGAAUAGAUCGCUCCUGUCUUUUCGUCUUGCUCAAGGGUUCGCUUCUCGGUUAUGAUCCAACCAGACUGCAAACCUCACAUUCAAAUGUCAAAAUAAUAAGACAGGCAGCAUUUGGGCUCAUUUUAAUGUUGACAGCUGUUCAUUUUUUUUUCCAAAUUACGGCUUUCAUGACUCUGUGACUCAUGAUCAGAUUCUGCAAGGUCGCCGAUUCCUCAAGUUCAGGUGGAAAUCAUUAACUCUGGUGUAAUGGGAUUUUCCUCUGACAGAUGCAAUAAUGCGGUGUGUUUGUGUACAGUAGGUUUAAUGUACAAGUGUUGUUCUACUUUAUCUCCACCCUGCUUCAGGCUCUGCUUUGAUUUUUCUGUAAUAAAUAAUGCUCUUUUGUCUUCUGUGCCGCAUUUGUUCCCAGUUGUAAUCUCUCUACUGCUCAAUAAAUUAUGAAUAAUGCCAGUUCAA